AACUCUGGGAUAAGCCUGGGAAACUGGGUCUAAUACCGGAUAGGAGCGCCCACCGCAUGGUGGGUGUUGGAAAGAUUUAUCGGUUUUGGAUGGACUCGCGGCCUAUCAGCUUGUUGGUGAGGUAAUGGCUCACCAAGGCGACGACGGGUAGCCGGCCUGAGAGGGUGACCGGCCACACUGGGACUGAGACACGGCCCAGACUCCUACGGGAGGCAGCAGUGGGGAAUAUUGCACAAUGGGCGCAAGCCUGAUGCAGCGACGCCGCGUGAGGGAUGACGGCCUUCGGGUUGUAAACCUCUUUCAGUAGGGAAGAAGCGAAAGUGACGGUACCUGCAGAAGAAGCACCGGCUAACUACGUGCCAGCAGCCGCGGUAAUACGUAGGGUGCGAGCGUUAUCCGGAAUUAUUGGGCGUAAAGAGCUCG
rnacentral:rRNA from 1 species